GAAAUGCGAUAAGUAGUGUGAAUUGCAGAAUUCAGUGAAUCAUCGAAUCUUUGAACGCACAUUGCGCCCUUUGGUAUUCCAAAGGGCAUGCCUGUUCGAGCGUCAUUUGUACCCUCAAGCCUUGCUUGGUGUUGGGCGUUUGUCUCCUGGGACUCGCCUUAAAUUGAUUGGCAGCCGGCCUACUGGUUUCGGAGCGCAGCACAUUGCUUGCUCUUACCACUCAAAGCCAGCGUCCAUGAAGUCUAUACAUUUAACUUUUGACCUCGGAUCAGGUAGGGAUACCCGCUGAACUUAA
rnacentral:misc_RNA from 1 species